UACGUAGGGUGCAAGCGUUGUCCGGAAUUAUUGGGCGUAAAGAGCUUGUAGGCGGUUUGUCGCGUCUGCUGUGAAAUUUCGGGGCUCAACCCCGAACUUGCAGUGGGUACGGGCAGACUAGAGUGUGGUAGGGGAGACUGGAAUUCCGGGUGUAGUGGUGAAAUGCGUAGAGAUCCGGAGGAACCCCAGAGGCGAAGGCGGCCCCCUGGCUCGUACCUGACGCUCAGCCACGAAAGCAUGGGGAGCGAACGGG
rnacentral:rRNA from 1 species